GCGGGUUUAGCUCAGUUGGGAGAGCGUCAGACUGAAGUAAAAACUUCAUUUCAUCAAUUCAAUUGAUACCUUAUCUGAAGGUCAUGUGUUCGAUCCACAUAAACCGCA